rnacentral:rRNA from 1 species
GACGAACGCUGGCGGCGUGCCUAAUACAUGCAAGUAGAACGCAGUUGCGAACGGGUGAGUAACGCGUAGGUAACUGCCUCAUAGCGGGGGAUAACUAUUGGAAACGAUAGCUAAUACCGCAUACUGAGAGAUGGACCUGUGUUGUAUUGGCUAGUUGGUGAGGUAAAGGCCCACCAAGGCGACGAUACAUAGCCGACCUGGGAGGGUGGUCGGCCACACCUGGACCGGGGACAGGCCCAGGCUCCUUCGGGGAGGCACAGUAGGGAAACUUCGGCAAUUGGCGGAAAUCUUGCCGAACAACGGCGCGUGAGUGGAGAAGGUUUUCGGGUUGUAAAACUCUGUUGUUCGGGGAGCGGUACCUAACCAGAAAGCACCGGCUAACUACGUGCCAGCAGCCGCGGUAAUUC